AACGAACGCUGGCGGCAUGCCUAACACAUGCAAGUCGAACGAGACCUCCGGGUCUUUUGGCGCACGGGUGUGUAACGCGUGGGAACCUGCACUUAGGUUCGGAAUAACUCUCCGAAAGGGGUGCUAAUACCGGAUAAUGUCUUCGGACCAAGCAUUUAUUGCCCUUGGUUGUGCCCGCGUUGGAUUAGCUUGUUGUUAGGGUAAAAGACUACUAAGGCGACGAUUCAUAGCUGGUCUGAGAGGAUGGUCAGCCACACUGAGACUGAGACGCGGCCGAGACUCCUACGCGAGGGAGGAGAGGGUAAUGUAGCAACGCGGGGGGAGGCAUGAUGCAGCACGGCCGGGAGAGUUAUGAAAGCAUUGAGGAAGUAAAGCUCAAUUAACCGGGAAGAUAAUGACGGUACCGAGAGAAUAAGCUCCGGCUAACUCCGUG
rnacentral:rRNA from 1 species